rnacentral:rRNA from 1 species
AGAGUUUGAUCCUGGCUCAGAACGAACGCUGGCGGCGUGCCUAACACAUGCAAGUCGAACGGAAUUUGAGAGCUUGCUCUUAAAUUUAGUGGCGCACGGGUGAGUAACGCGUAGAUAAUCUGCCUGACGAUCUGGGAUAACACUUCGAAAGAGGUGCUAAUACCGGAUAAGCCCACGGAGUCUUUGGAUUUUGCGGGAAA